rnacentral:rRNA from 1 species
UACGUAGGGUGCGAGCGUUAAUCGGAAUUACUGGGCGUAAAGCGUGCGCAGGCGGUUUUGUAAGCCAGAUGUGAAAUCCCCGGGCUUAACCUGGGAAUGGCAUUGGUGACUGCACGGCUAGAGUGUGUCAGAGGGGGGGUAGAAUUCCACGUGUAGCAGUGAAAUGCGUAGAGAUGUGGAGGAAUACCGAUGGCGAAGGCAGCCCCCCUGGGGAUAACACUGACGCUCAUGCACGAAAGGCGUGGGGAGCAAACAGG